rnacentral:sRNA from 1 species
UUUGCGCUUAGGCUGAUCACCGAAAACUGGAGUCCUUACCCCGGCUGGCGCAAAUUUUUAUGGUAAGG